AACGAGGCCGACCUGCGGCUGAGUUACCUGCGGAAGGAUCAUUACCGAGAGAGGGUGCGGUUUCCCGGCCCGACCUCCCAACCCUUGUGUCUACCACACCUUGUCGUUGCUUCGGCGGACCGGUCGUUCCUGACCGCCGGGGGUGUUGCACCCCGGGAGCGCGUCCGCCGAUGGCCCAACCACACAAAACUCUGUGUCCCGAAACGUGUCGUCUAAAGGAACUUGAUAUAAUCAAAAACA
rnacentral:misc_RNA from 1 species